rnacentral:rRNA from 1 species
GAGUUUGAUCCUGGCUCAGGACGAACGCUGACGGUGUGCUUUAGGCAUGCAAGUCGAACGAGAAAGCCCUUCGGGGUGAGUACAGUGGCGAACGGGUGAGUAACACGUGGGCAAUCUGCCCCUCGCAGGGGGACAACCGGGGGAAACUCCGGCUAAUACCCCGUACGCUUACGGAGCCGCAUGGCCCCGUAAGGAGAGGUAGCUUCGGCCAUCCGGCGAGGGAUGAGCCCGCGGUACAUUAGCUAGUUGGUGAGGUAACGGCUCACCAAGGCGACGAUGUAUAGCUGGUCUGAGAGGAUGAUCAGCCACACUGGGACUGAGACACGGCCCAGACUCCUACGGGAGGCAGCAGUCGGGAAUCUUGCGCAAUGGGCGAAAGCCUGACGCAGCAACACCGUGUGAGCGACGAAGGCCUUCGGGUCGUAAAGCUCUGUUGUUGGGGACGAAGGGUUAGGGGUUAAUAGCCCCGAGCCUGACGGUACCCUUCGAGGAAGCCCCGGCUAACUACGUGCCAGCAGCCGCGGUAAUACGUAGGGGGCGAGCGUUGUCCGGAAUUAUUGGGCGUAAAGAGCGUGUAGGCGGUUCGGUAAGUCUGCCGUGAAAACCCAGGGCUCAACCCUGGGCGUGCGGUGGAUACUGUCGGGCUAGAGGGUGGUAGAGGCGAGUGGAAUUCCCGGUGUAGCGGUGAAAUGCGCAGAUAUCGGGAGGAACACCAGUAGCGAAGGCGGCUCGCUGGGCCAUACCUGACGCUGAGACGCGAAAGCGUGGGGAGCAAACAGGAUUAGAUACCCCUGUAGUCC